UCUCGCAAGACCGGGGAGUCCUCCAGAAU
rnacentral:sRNA from 1 species